rnacentral:rRNA from 1 species
UGGGGAAUAUUGGACAAUGGGCGCAAGCCUGAUCCAGCCAUGCCGCGUGAGUGAUGAAGGCCCUAGGGUUGUAAAGCUCUUUCACCGGUGAAGAUAAUGACGGUAACCGGAGAAGAAGCCCCGGCUAACUUCGUGCCAGCAGCCGCGGUAAUACGAAGGGGGCUAGCGUUGUUCGGAUUUACUGGGCGUAAAGCGCACGUAGGCGGACUUUUAAGUCAGGGGUGAAAUCCCGGGGCUCAACCCCGGAACUGCCUUUGAUACUGGAAGUCUUGAGUAUGGUAGAGGUGAGUGGAAUUCCGAGUGUAGAGGUGAAAUUCGUAGAUAUGCGGAGGAACACCAGUGGCGAAGGCGGCUCACUGGACGAUUACUGACGCUGAGGUGCGAAAGCGGGGGGAGCAAACAGG